AUGCAGCCAACAUGCAUUUAUGUGUUAAGCCACAGGAAUUUAAUCGUGAGGCAGAGCUUUUCAUCAGCUCCUACUGCAGAGACAAAAUGCUGCCCUGCUGAAGUCAGUGGCAAAGCUCAAUUUGGCUGUUAUACAGCCAACAUCUUGUCCUUCUGCUUAUUGCAUUCGGAGCUGGCAAGCCUGGUGCAGGGGGCUUUUUGCUGGGAACAGGGUGUGUGCGGGCUGAAAAGCACUGAGGAGGAACUGAGGCCAUACCUGAUCCUGGGGGGUGCCCAGAGCAGCUCUGCAAGCAAGGUUAGCGCCUUUGCUCCUCUGUCAUCACCAGUCCCUGAGAGCAAUCACCACCCACCAGCAGUUCCUCAAGAUAAGACCGAGCCAGCUGGGAGAAGAAAUCCUUUGAUAUUUCCCUGCCUCGCUGACCCACGGGGAACUUCAUGAGCUCCUGAUUCUGUUGAACAAAGGAAAUAUUUGUCAAAACAGCACUGAUCUUUAUGUUGUCUGAGCCACGUUGUUGGUUAAUGUCAAAUGCUAUGUGAAAAGUAGACAUGCUUGUUUUGUUCAUCAUCAGAACUGUUUUCUAUGAUGCUCUAAUAUUCGGAAACAGAGCAAAAGUGUACUUGACACAGUUACAUACAAACAUACAGUAGAUAAUUUUGGAAGAGAAAUGCUAUAUCCCAGAUUGACAUUGUGUUUUGAUUUGUAAAGCAUGCAACAUGAUUCAACUGAUGCCUUCAGAUCUCACUUCUACUGAUGCUACUGAAAAUCAAUUAAUUCCCUUGGCUUGUUUAAUUCUUAGACACUGUAACUAUGUUGGUUGAGCCUGGGAAAUGCAGUCAUUAGCUGUUCUUGUUGCUGAAGUAUGCUAAAGCCUUUGGUCAUUCAAAUCCCAUGAAUUCAAGGCAAAGUAGUAUUCAUAGGCUUGUUGCACUGACCCCAAAAGCUGAAAAUUGAGAAGUAAACUUCAAACCUACAGUUGCUUAUCUGAGCCAAAGUUCUAAUCUUUUGAGAUUUGCCCAUCACAAAUUUUAAGUGCAGAGUGGGGAAAAAAAGAGGAAAUGCAGACUGACAGACUGAUAGCCAAGCUAAAAUUUGUCAAAUAUAUCAUCUCUUCAAAUAAAGCAAGACUAAUGUGGAAAAUGGGAGGCA
rnacentral:lncRNA from 1 species